rnacentral:rRNA from 1 species
GUCGAGCGGAAACGAGUUAUCUGAACCUUCGGGGAACGAUAACGGCGUCGAGCGGCGGACGGGUGAGUAAUGCCUAGGAAAUUGCCCUGAUGUGGGGGAUAACCAUUGGAAACGAUGGCUAAUACCGCAUGAUGCCUACGGGCCAAAGAGGGGGACCUUCGGGCCUCUCGCGUCAGGAUAUGCCUAGGUGGGAUUAGCUAGUUGGUGAGGUAAGGGCUCACCAAGGCGACGAUCCCUAGCUGGUCUGAGAGGAUGAUCAGCCACACUGGAACUGAGACACGGUCCAGACUCCUACGGGAGGCAGCAGUGGGGAAUAUUGCACAAUGGGCGCAAGCCUGAUGCAGCCAUGCCGCGUGUGUGAAGAAGGCCUUCGGGUUGUAAAGUACUUUCAGUCGUGAGGAAGGCGGUGGAGUUAAUAGCUGCAUCGUUUGACGUUAGCGACAGAAGAAGCACCGGCUAACUCCGUGCCAGCAGCCGCGGUAAUACGGAGGGUGCGAGCGUUAAUCGGAAUUACUGGGCGUAAAGCGCAUGCAGGUGGUUUGUUAAGUCAGAUGUGAAAGCCCGGGGCUCAACCUCGGAAUAGCAUUUGAAACUGGCAGACUAGAGUACUGUAGAGGGGGGUAGAAUUUCAGGUGUAGCGGUGAAAUGCGUAGAGAUCUGAAGGAAUACCGGUGGCGAAGGCGGCCCCCUGGACAGAUACUGACACUCAGAUGCGAAAGCGUGGGGAGCAAACAGGAUUAGAUACCCUGGUAGUCCACGCCGUAAACGAUGUCUACUUGGAGGUUGUGGCCUUGAGCCGUGGCUUUCGGAGCUAACGCGUUAAGUAGACCGCCUGGGGAGUACGGUCGCAAGAUUAAAACUCAAAUGAAUUGACGGGGGCCCGCACAAGCGGUGGAGCAUGUGGUUUAAUUCGAUGCAACGCGAAGAACCUUACCUACUCUUGACAUCCAGAGAACUUUCCAGAGAUGGAUUGGUGCCUUCGGGAACUCUGAGACAGGUGCUGCAUGGCUGUCGUCAGCUCGUGUUGUGAAAUGUUGGGUUAAGUCCCGCAACGAGCGCAACCCUUAUCCUUGUUUGCCAGCGAGUAAUGUCGGGAACUCCAGGGAGACUGCCGGUGAUAAACCGGAGGAAGGUGGGGACGACGUCAAGUCAUCAUGGCCCUUACGAGUAGGGCUACACACGUGCUACAAUGGCGCAUACAGAGGGCGGCCAACUUGCGAAAGUGAGCGAAUCCCAAAAAGUGCGUCGUAGUCCGGAUUGGAGUCUGCAACUCGACUCCAUGAAGUCGGAAUCGCUAGUAAUCGUGGAUCAGAAUGCCACGGUGAAUACGUUCCCGGGCCUUGUACACACCGCCCGUCACACCAUGGGAGUGGGCUGCAAAAGAAGUAGGUAGUUUAACCUUCGGGGGGACG